GUGUGAUGGGGAGUUUAACAGAGUGAGAACCAGAACCCCACCCUACCCUUCCACCCCAUCCUUCUGGUGGGCCCCAAGGGUGUGUGUGUGUGUGUGUGUGUGUGUGUAUGGGUGGGUGGGGUGGGCAUCCAGGUCUGGAAGCAUCAGGCCACACAGACAGAAAGAAUGGCCUGUCUCUGGCACCCUGGUCCUCAAUGUGAGCUGUACAGACCACCCCAUGCUGGAGUCCCCAGGCCUGUUCCCCCGGAAUCUGGUGUGUGAAAGAGAUUUUCUUAUUUAGGGGGCUGGACAGCGGUGCACACGUUACAAUGCACAAGGACCCAGGUUCAAGCAACCCCCGCAUGCCCCUCACCGGGAGGGGGGAAACUGCAUGACUGUGAAGCAGUGCUGUAGGUGUCUCUCCUUCCCCUUCUCUCUCAAUUUAUGCCUGUCUCUAUACAAUAAAUAAAUGAAGGACCAGUAAGUAGUGCA